CACUUCUAGCAUUAAUAGUAUUAGAAGCACUGCCUGCCCAGUGACACUAGUUAAACGGCCGCGGUAUCCUGACCGUGCAAAGGUAGCAUAAUCAUUUGUUCCUUAAUUAGGGACUUGUAUGAAUGGCUUAACGAGGGUUUAACUGUCUCUUACUUUUGAUCAGUGAAAUUGACCUUCCCGUGAAGAGGCGGGAAUAAAUUAAUAAGACGAGAAGACCCUAUGGAGCUUAAAUUAAAUUAUUCAAAUAACCUAAAAUUUUUCCCCACGGGACUAACUACACUUAAACCUGAAUAAUAAAUUUGGUUGGGGUGACCUCGGAGCAUAAAACAACCUCCGAGAAUUACAGCUAAGACUCACCCGUCAAAGCAUCUUUAACUAUUGAUCCAAUUCAUAUUGAUCAACGGAACAAGUUACCCUAGGGAUAACAGCGCAAUCCUAUUUAAGAGUCCAUAUCGACAAUAGGGUUUACGACCUCGAUGUUGGAUCAGGACACCCAAAUGGUGCAGCAGCUAUUAAAGGUUCGUUUGUUCAACG
rnacentral:rRNA from 1 species